rnacentral:rRNA from 1 species
GACGAACGCUGGCGGCGUGCUUAACACAUGCAAGUCGAACGGAAAGGCCCUUUCGGGGGUACGUCGAGUGGCGAACGGGUAGGAGUAACACGUGGGUGGAUCUGCCCUCGCACUUCGGGUAGUAAGACCUCGGGAAACGUAGGGUCGUAAUACCGGAGUAUGACUACGGGUCGGCAUGGUCUGUGGUGGAAAGACUUUUGUCGGUGUGGGAGU